AAGAAGAAUUUAACCAGAAGUUGCCAGAAACAGACAGGAGUGGAGGAACUUCGUCACUGCCCUAAAUGCCAGUGGCGUAAUGGAAACAUGAUGAUGAUGACGAAGCAAGAGAAAAGAGACAGCAAAGGGACAGAGCCCUUCUGUCUGGGAGCCCCAAUCUUUGUGAAGGAUUGGAAGGACUGACAUCUGCCAGAGCCUGAGGCUGGAGCUGGAGUGACAUCUGCCACUGCUAAGAACGGAAGUAAGCUUUAAAAAAAAGAGAGAGAGUUUAUAUGGACUGUGGCUGGACAGUCUCGUCAAGGGAGAAGAUUGACUGUUUCAGGAGGCAGCACACUUCUGACUGUUUUAAGUACAAGUCCUUCAGGAGAAGUCUUAGUUUUGCUCACUGAACCACAAAAUUAAAGUACCAUGGAAGAAAUCCAGACAUGCAACAAUGCCAAAAUAUGUAUCACACUAUACUGAAAGGCUUCAAAAUUACUGUAUUUACACAAGGGAAUUACAGACAGAAUAAAUGAAAAUUUUACGGUCUAAGAAAGGAAACACAAUUUUAGUUAACUAGCACUUUUCUACUGCUCUAAAGCUUUUAAUGGGCGCAGAGGGAAUUUGCACUCAGUGAAGUAGAUCAGUGAAAUGAUAAUUUGUCUUUGAAUGGAGUACUUUUAUCCCAUUAAUUUCUGCCAUUAUAGUGUGAGAUAAGAUGUAAGCCAAUGACUAACUGAAAAUUAAGGUCCAAAAAAAGAGGCAACAAAACAAAAGAAUAGCUUAUGCCAUAUUAUGCAAAAUGUAAGAUAAAAUUAAUUUUUACUCAACCUUUUAUUGUAGCCACCUUUAACCUCGAUUUUUGUGCACUUCAUCAUAUCAGUUUCCACUACAUUAAAAUAUCUUCGCUUUACUCAUCAGAUCUCUUUUUCUUAGGCAUAUUUGAUUACAGUCCUUUUGUUACACUUGAGAAAGAAAAAAGUGAGUGUAGUGGAGAUAUGCUAGAGGUGAACACAUGGAUGUGAAAGCAUGGCUGCUUGAAGUACUGCAAAACUUCAGUGUAUUGCUGAAAUAGCAUAAGUUAAUACUUCAGGUUGUGUAAUUCACAACAUUAACCUGACAUUGCAUGUUAUGUAUCGCUCUGUAUUUCACAUAAGUAUAAUCACUGAAUAUUUUGAAAGUAUUUUUGAUGGCAAUACAUAGGAAAAAAAUAGAAGCAGUAGAACACAGCUACUCUGAUUUUAAAGCUUGGGUCUAUAGUUUUUAGAUGUAUAAUAUCAUGUCAUGUGGCUGAGCUAGAAAUCACAUCCCAUAAAGGUGGUGCAAUAGUGGGUUUAGUGAAAUCAGUAGAAAGGUGAAAGUCUUUUCUCCUUGGCACAGCACUUACCUGCCUGGGUUCUUCAGACUGAGCGUGGGCAGAAUGUAUUUUACAUGUUAAUAUAUUUCAGUGUCAUGCUUUUAAAAUUAAAAACUCAAAGUUUGUAAAACAAUUUCCCUUUUAAUUGUUUUUGCAAUAUUAGGCGCUGAUCCUGCAAAGAUUUACACUCAUACUUUGUACUUAUGAAUAGCCCCACUGACUUCAGUGGGACUACUUACAUGUGUAAACUAAGCAUUUGCAAAAGUCUUUGCAGCAUCGUGGCCUUCUGUUCAACAGAAUGAUUAUGAGCUGGUUAUAUAUCUUGCAGUUGUGACUCUUACUAGCUGUAUUUUUCAAUAUUUACAUUUUAAUUAAAAAGGUCACUAAUUGACUCACUUGGAACUGAAAUUUGG